rnacentral:rRNA from 1 species
CAUCAGAACUCCGAAGUUAAGCGUGCUUGGUCGGGAGUAUUACUAGGAUGGGUGACUUUUUGGGAAGUCCUCGUGUUGCACCC